GACGAACGCUGGCGGCGUGCUUAACACAUGCAAGUCGAACGAGUGGCGAACGGGUGAGUAACACGUGGGUGAUCUGCCUUGCGCGUCGGGAUAAGCCUGGGAAACGGGGUCUAAUACCCGAUAGUGCAAGAUGAGCGGGGGGGGUAUCAGCUUGUUGGUGGGGUAAUGGCUACCAAGGCGCGACGGGUAGCCGGCCUGAGAGGGUGUACGGCGACAUUGGGACUGAGAGAGGGACCAGACGCCAACGGGGGGCAGCAGGGGGGAAUAUUGCGCAAUGGGGGGAAGUCUGAUGAGGCGACGCCGGGUGGGUGAUGAAGGCCUUGGGGUUGUAAACUCCUUUCGACAGGGAAGCGGUACCUGUAUAAGAAGCACCGGCUAACUACGUGCCAGCAGCCGCGGUAAUAC
rnacentral:rRNA from 1 species